CAAAAACAUGGAAAACAGAUGUAGCGUCAAGUAACUUAAAUCAUUCACUUCAAAUUAUCGCGUGUUUUCCAUUUAAAAACUUCACGUUCCAGUAUAAACCACAAAAAUCAUAUGGUACAUAAUUAUAUCGCACGUUUCAAUGCACAUCAAAAAUGUCGUGGCUGGAACUUCCUCGAGAAAUCAGCAGCAAAACGUGGGCAAUGGUUUAUUUUUUGUUAGCUUCCCUUCAUGUGCGAUUUUCAUGCCUCAGCACCAACAAGUCGAGCAUAUGUAACAUUAGAUCGAGUACCGCAGCACUGGAGGAGGAAGCUCGUUUUUGUUUCGCUGCUUCUGGCAACAUCAAAACACAGGGGAUAAUUUGAACGUAUGCCGAGAAAUUGUUUUAAUUGACAAACAGAAGCUGAGUCGAUGUGCUCUCCGGCUAAUUUCCUCUCCAUGCGAACGCUUUCUUCCUCGGCCUGUAAUCGGAAAAGUCGGUGGUAACCUGUUACGAGUACAUGGAGAGCUAUCGCCUGUCCUUCCGUGCGGAGCAGGAAAUCGCCCGCCUAAGAUGGCUACAUAUACCCUCGUUUCGAGCGAUCGAUUCGAUUAUCACACACUCGGCCGGUAGAAGAGAAGGCGAGAUACGAUCGAACUUUUCCGCAAAACAGUCUUGUCCGCGGGCAAGCAAUUUGAAGAAAGCAGCCUCCCACUCGUAGGGCCUCGACCACUAUUGUAAUGAAUUAUCCAACUCCAUUUCCAAUUUUAUAUCAUGAGGUGUUAUGGAAGUGAUGUCGAACGAUGGAUCGCAUUUCGCAAAAAGCGCUUGAAGCGAGCGCGAUAGAGGGGCUAAUUUGAUUGUCGUGAUUUGUUGUUAUUUGAAAGUGUUUACAACCGUGACAUGAAGAAAACACAAAGCCGCUUAAAUUUGCCGAUAAUCGUUUGGAGCAAAAUACCAAUAGGCGUCGAGAUAUUUUGAUAUUGCAAUAUACUAUGUUACUAUCGCCAGCUCUCAUGAUCUCAACAUUUUAAUGAUGAUGUACUGCGUGAAUAUACAACAUCUACAGACCCGGUGAAUUUUGGGACUACGAAUGAAAGAAGGCUAACGGAUAAUUGGAUGGAUAUUACAAUUAUUAAAAAUAAUUAUAUUAUUAAAAGAAACGUCUGUUCCAUGCAAUAAAAAAUACAAUGUCCAGAGAAUCCGUCUGCGAACAGCUUUUUUUUCUCCAAAUCGGAGCAAAUUGGACGAUGAAGCAAAAUUUAGUGGUCAAACUGAAGAAAUCAAUUGUUAUCAAUCAUGAAAGACGAAAAGCCCAUAAAAAGGAUUCUUGACACAUUCCAGGGCAAAAUUUAAACCGCCAUCGAAGGAGUGGCGAUUGUCCGCAAAAUAAGUAAAAAUUAAUUUUUGUUGAUAUUUUUUUGGACGAACUUCUGCUCUAAUACUUUCGUAGCCCUAACGGAGAUCAC